CCUACGGGAGGCAGCAGUGAGGAAUAUUGGUCAAUGGGCGCUAGCCUGAACCAGCCAAGUAGCGUGAAGGAUGACUGCCCUAUGGGUUGUAAACUUCUUUUAUAUGGGAAUAAAGUGCGGCAUGUAUACUGCUUUGUAUGUACUUUAUGAAUAAGGAUCGGCUAACUCCGUGCCAGCAGCCGCGGUAAUACGGAGGAUCCGAGCGUUAUCCGGAUUUAUUGGGUUUAAAGGGUGCGUAGGUGGUUGGUUAAGUUAGUUGUGAAAUUCUGCGGCUCAACCUUGGAAUUGCAAUUGAUACUGGCCGGCUAGAGAAUAGUUGCGGUAGGCGGAAUGUAUGGUGUAGCGGUGAAAUGCUUAGAGAUCAUGCAGAACUCCGAUUGCGAAGGCAGCUUACCAAGCUACUUCUGACAUUGAGGCACGAAAGCGUGGGGAGCAAACAGGAUUAGAUACCCGGGUAGUC
rnacentral:rRNA from 1 species